CAAACACUUUUCCUAUUUUUAGCUAGCUGAAGUCUCAAUUCGCCUCAAGUCAAAUCCUUGCCCACUCAUUCCGCACUCCGGCGCGAAUCUUGUGGAGCGCUUGUCCCCACAGAGCUCCAUUGGCUGUGGAGAGAGAUUUGCAUACGAGGGGGAAUCGUGGAUGGUGGUGGCUCUCCCACGCCGGAGGGUCUGGUUCCGCCGCGACGGGGGGUUGAAUCGGCGAAGGCCACCGGAGCGAGGAGUCAGGAGUAGUCCGCCCGUCCUCCUCCCCGUGUUUUUGUCGCUGACUGGGUGCGAGAGGCAUGGGUUUGCGUGGAGGUCGAGGAGCUGGGUUCCUCCAUGGCCGAGCUUCCAGCGACAUGGGUUCAAGAGUGUCAUCUUCUUAGUUACUGCCGGAGCUAAACAACGAUCAAGAUAAAUAAGAGAGGCUACAUACUUGAUCAAGACAUAUGCGGAGAAAAGGACGUCUUUGCAUGAGGAGGAAGAAGAGAGAAUGCUGAUGUGAAGGCAGUUAUAGAACAUGUCAAGAAAUAGAAGUCCCACAUUUUAUGUUUUUUAGCUGGCUUUUCUGUUCGUGUGUAAGGCUCAUAAAUAGCCAGAUGUACGCAGUAACGUACUAGUUUAGUCCUUAUUUUCAUUACCAGGGCACGGAAGGAGGCUGAAUUGAUUGGGAGCUGGGUUAGUUGGGGUUAAAAAACCAGCAAAAAAACCAGACAAAGUUCGACCAGAAUGAAUAUUGGAGCGGGAUGUGAAUGAUUUAAUGAA